UUAAGUUAUUAAGGGCGCACGGUGGAUGCCUUGGCACUAGAAGCCGAUGAAGGACGUUACUAACGACGAUAUGCUUUGGGGAGCUGUAAGUAAGCUUUGAUCCAGAGAUUUCCGAAUGGGGAAACCCAGCAUGAGUUAUGUCAUGUUAUCGAUAUGUGAAUACAUAGCAUAUCAGAAGGCACACCCGGAGAACUGAAACAUCUUAGUACCCGGAGGAAGAGAAAGAAAAUUCGAUUCCCUUAGUAGCGGCGAGCGAAACGGGAAGAGCCCAAACCAACAAGCUUGCUUGUUGGGGUUGUAGGACACUCUAUACGGAGUUACAAAGGACGACAUUAGACGAAUCAUCUGGAAAGAUGAAUCAAAGAAGGUAAUAAUCCUGUAGUCGAAAAUGUUGUCUCUCUUGAGUGGAUCCUGAGUACGACGGAGCACGUGAAAUUCCGUCGGAAUCUGGGAGGACCAUCUCCUAAGGCUAAAUACUCUCUAGUGACCGAUAGUGAACCAGUACCGUGAGGGAAAGGUGAAAAGCACCCCGGAAGGGGAGUGAAAUAGAACCUGAAACCGUGUGCUUACAAGUAGUCAGAGCCCGUUAAUGGGUGAUGGCGUGCCUUUUGUAGAAUGAACCGGCGAGUUACGAUUUGAUGCAAGGUUAAGCAGUAAAUGUGGAGCCGUAGCGAAAGCGAGUCUGAAUAGGGCGUUUAGUAUUUGGUCGUAGACCCGAAACCAGGUGAUCUACCCUUGGUCAGGUUGAAGUUCAGGUAACACUGAAUGGAGGACCGAACCGACUUACGUUGAAAAGUGAGCGGAUGAACUGAGGGUAGCGGAGAAAUUUCAAUCGAACCUGGAGAUAGCUGGUUCUCUCCGAAAUAGCUUUAGGGCUAGCCUCAAGUGAUGAUUAUUGGAGGGAAGAGCACUGUUUGGACGAGGGGCCCCUCUCGGGUUACCGAAUUCAGACAAACUCCGAAUGCCAAUUAAUUUAACUUGGGAGUCAGAACAUGGGUGAUAAGGUCCGUGUUCGAAAGGGAAACAGCCCAGACCACCAGCUAAGGUCCCAAAAUAUAUGUUAAGUGGAAAAGGAUGUGGCGUUGCCCAGACAACUAGGAUGUUGGCUUAGAAGCAGCCAUCAUUUAAAGAGUGCGUAAUAGCUCACUAGUCGAGUGACACUGCGCCGAAAAUGUACCGGGGCUAAACAUAUUACCGAAGCUGUGGAUUGUCCUUUGGACAAUGGUAGGAGGGCGUUCUAAGGGCGUUGAAGCAUGAUCGUAAGGACAUGUGGAGCGCUUAGAAGUGAGAAUGCCGGUGUGAGUAGCGAAAGACGGGUGAGAAUCCCGUCCACCGAUUGACUAAGGUUUCCAGAGGAAGGCUCGUCCGCUCUGGGUUAGUCGGGUCCUAAGCUGAGGCCGACAGGCGUAGGCGAUGGAUAACAGGUUGAUAUUCCUGUACCACCUAUAAUCGUUUUAAUCGAUGGGGGGACGCAGUAGGAUAGGCGAAGCGUGCGAUUGGAUUGCACGUCUAAGCAGUAAGGCUGAGUAUUAGGCAAAUCCGGUACUCGUUAAGGCUGAGCUGUGAUGGGGAGAAGACAUUGUGUCUUCGAGUCGUUGAUUUCACACUGCCGAGAAAAGCCUCUAGAUAGAAAAUAGGUGCCCGUACCGCAAACCGACACAGGUAGUCAAGAUGAGAAUUCUAAGGUGAGCGAGCGAACUCUCGUUAAGGAACUCGGCAAAAUGACCCCGUAACUUCGGGAGAAGGGGUGCUCUUUAGGGUUAACGCCCAGAAGAGCCGCAGUGAAUAGGCCCAAGCGACUGUUUAUCAAAAACACAGGUCUCUGCUAAACCGUAAGGUGAUGUAUAGGGGCUGACGCCUGCCCGGUGCUGGAAGGUUAAGAGGAGUGGUUAGCUUCUGCGAAGCUACGAAUCGAAGCCCCAGUAAACGGCGGCCGGAACUAUAACGGUCCUAAGGUAGCGAAAUUCCUUGUCGGGUAAGUUCCGACCCGCACGAAAGGCGUAACGAUUUGGGCACUGUCUCAACGAGAGACUCGGUGAAAUCAUAGUACCUGUGAAGAUGCAGGUUACCCGCGACAGGACGGAAAGACCCCGUGGAGCUUUACUGUAGCCUGAUAUUGAAAUUCGGCACAGCUUGUACAGGAUAGGUAGGAGCCUUUGAAACGUGAGCGCUAGCUUACGUGGAGGCGCUGGUGGGAUACUACCCUAGCUGUGUUGGCUUUCUAACCCGCACCACUUAUCGUGGUGGGAGACAGUGUCAGGCGGGCAGUUUGACUGGGGCGGUCGCCUCCUAAAAGGUAACGGAGGCGCUCAAAGGUUCCCUCAGAAUGGUUGGAAAUCAUUCAUAGAGUGUAAAGGCAUAAGGGAGCUUGACUGCGAGACCUACAAGUCGAGCAGGGUCGAAAGACGGACUUAGUGAUCCGGUGGUUCCGCAUGGAAGGGCCAUCGCUCAACGGAUAAAAGCUACCCCGGGGAUAACAGGCUUAUCUCCCCCAAGAGUUCACAUCGACGGGGAGGUUUGGCACCUCGAUGUCGGCUCAUCGCAUCCUGGGGCUGUAGUCGGUCCCAAGGGUUGGGCUGUUCGCCCAUUAAAGCGGUACGCGAGCUGGGUUCAGAACGUCGUGAGACAGUUCGGUCCCUAUCCGUCGUGGGCGUAGGAAAUUUGAGAGGAGCUGUCCUUAGUACGAGAGGACCGGGAUGGACAUACCUCUGGUGUACCAGUUGUCGUGCCAACGGCAUAGCUGGGUAGCUAUGUGUGGACGGGAUAAGUGCUGAAAGCAUCUAAGCAUGAAGCCCCCCUCAAGAUGAGAUUUCCCAACUUCGGUUAUAAGAUCCCUCAAAGAUGAUGAGGUUAAUAGGUUCGAGGUGGAAGCAUGGUGACAUGUGGAGCUGACGAAUACUAAUCGAUCGAAGACUUAAUCAA
rnacentral:rRNA from 1 species